GACAGACUGAAAACUAUGUGAUUAAAAAUGUGUGGAGAAGUUCUGAGGUAGAAGUACAGGGAGCCACGGGGGAAACACAGCAGGGUCAUCUGAGCCCGUCAGGGAGCCAGGCAACACUUCCUACGAGCUGAAAUGAUGCUAUGAUACUGCCUUGUUGUCGUUGAAUCAGACUCAAGAGCCAGGAAAGCCCAAUAUUUGUGAACAUCCCCUUAAGUGGAAACACUCAUAUGGAGAAUGCAUAAAAUCCUUCUGAAUGGUGCACAAAUGAGUCAUAGUAUUGCUACAUAAAGGGAUACCACAAAGCAAGAACAAUGAUCAAUCUACAACUAGAUGAGUCUCACAAUGACGAAUAUCUCACAAUGUGAUGUGCCAACACUGAGGAAGAGUGUACAUACUGAUGAUUGCUUCAUAUAAAGUUCUCAAGCUGACAAAUCUAACAGAUAUCACUGGGAGUGUUGGUAA